UGAGGUAUAGUUCAGUGGAAGAAUGUGUGCCUAACAUGCAGGAGGUCCUGAGUUCAAUCACCAGUACCUCCA
rnacentral:tRNA from 1 species